ACCUGGUGGCGAGUGGCGAACGGGUGAGUAAUAUAUCGGAACGUACCCAAGAGUGGGGGAUAACGCAGCGAAAGUUGCGCUAAUACCGCAUACGAUCUAAGGAUGAAAGCAGGGGACCGCAAGGCCUUGUGCUCCUGGAGCGGCCGAGAUCUGAUUAGCUAGUUGGUGAGGUAAAGGCUCACCAAGGCCACGAUCAGUAGCUGGUCUGAGAGGACGACCAGCCACACUGGAACUGAGACACGGUCCAGACUCCUACGGGAGGCAGCAGUGGGGAAUUUUGGACAAUGGGCGCAAGCCUGAUCCAGCACAUAGCCGCGUGAGUGAAGAAGGCCUUCGGGUUGUAAAGCUCUUUUGUCAGGGAAGAAACGGUAGAGGCUAAUAUCCUUUGCUAAUGACGGUACUGAAGAAUAAGCACC
rnacentral:rRNA from 1 species